rnacentral:rRNA from 1 species
UACGAAGGAUGCAAGCGUUAUCCGGAUUCACUGGGUUUAAAGGGUGUGCAGGUGGGGUAAUAAGUCAGUGGUGAAAGCCCCCGACUCAAUCGGGGAACUGCCAUAGAUACUGUUAUUCUUGAGUGUGGUUGAGGUGGAUGGAAUAUGACAUGUAGCGGUGAAAUGCUUAGAUAUGUCAUAGAACACCGAUCGCGAAGGCAGUCCGCCAAACCAUUACUGACACUGAAACACGAAAGUGCGGGGAUCAAGCAGG